rnacentral:ribozyme from 12 species
GGAGGAACGGAGAAAGGAUCUUCUCUUGUGUUUCUGUUCUUGUAAGGCGCGGUUUCGCUUCUCUUUUUUUCUUCUUUUUUCUUUUUUUCUUUUUGUUUGUU